rnacentral:rRNA from 1 species
CCUACGGGUGGCUGCAGUGGGGAAUAUUGGACAAUGGGCGAAAGCCUGAUCCAGCCAUGCCGCGUGUGUGAAGAAGGCCUUCGGGUUGUAAAGCACUUUCAGUGGGGAAGAAAGCCUUGGGGCUAAUACCCUCGAGGAAGGACAUCACCCACAGAAGAAGCACCGGCUAACUCCGUGCCAGCAGCCGCGGUAAUACGGAGGGUGCGAGCGUUAAUCGGAAUUACUGGGCGUAAAGCGCGCGUAGGCGGUCUGAUAAGCCGGUUGUGAAAGCCCCGGGCUCAACCUGGGAACGGCAUCCGGAACUGUCGGGCUAGAGGGCAGGAGAGGAAGGUAGAAUUCCCGGUGUAGCGGUGAAAUGCGUAGAGAUCGGGAGGAAUACCAGUGGCGAAGGCGGCCUUCUGGACUGACACUGACGCUGAGGUGCGAAAGCGUGGGUAGCAAACAGGAUUAGAUACCCCUGUAGUC